UUUUUUUUUUAAUUUUUUUAUUUUUUUGUCUUUUUGCCAUUUCUUGGGCCGCUCCCGAGGCAUGUGGAGGUUCCCAGGCUAGGGGUUGAAUUGGAGCUGUAGCUGCUGGCCUGCACCACAGCCACAGCAACUCAGGAUCCGGGCCACGUCUGCAACUCAAGAUCCGAACCACGUCUGCAACCCACGCCACAGCUCCCAGCAACUCCACUGAGCAAGACCAGGGAUAGAACCCUCAACCUCUUGGUUCCUAGUUGGAUUCAUUAACUACUGCUCCACGACGGGAACUCCAGCUGAGUGUUCUACUAUUGACAACUAAAGCAUCCUCUCUGAAACAACCACCAGAAUUAGAAAACGAGUCCCAUUUGCUCUCAACAGAAGACAAGCCUGAAAAGCACAAUGAACAUUAAAAGUAUUAAAUUCCAGCAGCCACAGAGCCCUGAGCCUAAGGUUGCUGCAUUCUUUUUAUUUAACUAUGAAAAACUUAAGUAUCUCAAACUCAACACAGCCAACGCAGAAGUCACUAUCUGGACUUACUUGGAGGUGACUCCGAGCUUUCUCUUCUUGAAUUUUCCAUUGCUCUUUAUCAUGUCCCUAUGCAUGCAGCACUCAAAUAAGAACUCUCUACUUUUUGUUUGUUUGUCGUUUUGUUUUGCUUUUUAGGGCCACACCUGCAGCAUAUGGACGUUCCCAGACUCAGGGAUAAAUUGGAGCUACAGCUGCCAGCCUACACCACCACCACAGCAACACGGGAUCCCAGUCGCAUCUGUGACCUACUCCACAGCUCACAGCAAUUCCAGUUCCUUCACCCACUGAGCAAGGCCAGGGAUCAAACCCACACUCUCGUGGAUACUAUUUGGGUUCAUGACCACUGAGCCACAAUGGGAACCCCAAGAACUCCCUACUUUUUUUGUUUGAUGUGCCAGGCAAAGUGCUGCUCUACCCCCACACAAACAUUCUUCCAUCUGAUCAUCUCAAAUCUUUGUAGAAGUUGCUGUCCCUGUCAUUUACCCCUUUUGAAAAAAAAGAGGAGGCCAAGGACAAGAACUGUGCCUGGGGCUGCAGAAUCUGAAUCCAGAUCUGUCUCAUUGUCUUUUUUUUUUCCUACAACCCGAAGCCAGUAGAGUCCAUCAAGCAAGACUUCCUUCUUCAACUGGCCUUAAAUGUAUUUUAUUUCCCACCCGCUUCCCUUUUCCUCCUUUCCACCUGUGCCCUCCCCUCUCAUCUGCCAGAAGGAUGUCCUCCUUGGUCCUUCCUUGCUUCACGGCUCUCUCAUCGGCACUUAAUGCUGUCAACCUCACCAGGUUGAGAAGAGUCCUGGACAGUGUUCUCUCUCUGCUUCCUAAGUUUGCCUGUCUUCUCUCGGCCCCUCCAAAUUUUCUCUUCUCCAAGCUUAACCCUCCAGUCCCUCAACCUCUGCCUCUUAACAAGUGUCCCUUCUCUCUCUUGCUUCUCCUCCCCCCUCAAGGACAGUUUCACUCUUUCACUGCUUCUGCUUCCUCAAAACUCUCCUUAGCACUGGAGCUCCUUCGUGCAGCCUCCCAGGACCCCGGGAAUCAAGCGUUCCCAGAGUCCCCACCUCUGUCACCAUCAUAACACAUAUUGCACUGUGUUAGAAAUGCUAUUUUUUUUUUUUUGGCCUUUUUAGGGCCGCACCUGUGGCAUAUUAAAGUUUUCAGGCUAGGGGUCAGGUCAGAGCUGCAGCUGCCGGCCUACACCACAGACACAGCAAUAUCUGCGACUUACUGCACAGCUCAUGGCAACACCGGAUCCUUAACCCACUGAGCGAGGCCAGGGAUCAGACCCUCAUCGUCAUGGUUCCUAGUCGGGUUCAUUACCACUGAGCCACGAGGGGGAACUCCCUAAAUAUUUGAUUUAUGGUCUUUCCUAUGAGACUGGGGGCUGCUGGGGGGAGAAACAUGCCUUAUUGCCCUGUAGUCGCCCCUGCCCGUGAAGGAGUGGCUGAAUAUGCUGGCUGACCACACUGUGCUAUUAUUACUCUGUUUAUUUAUUCAUUCAUUCAUUCAUUCAUUCAUUCAUUUUUAGCUGCACCCAAGGCAUAUGGAACUUUCC
ensembl:lncRNA